GCCCUGCAGGCCGAAUCCACUGAGUGUUGGCCGCGGUAGGCGCUGCGCUUUCUCUUGGGACUAGCGGGGCUAGGCCCCGCCCUCUGCUUCUCCUUCACGUGGCGGGAGCUGUGGGCCGCGCGCAGAUAAUAUAGAUUAUCAGUAGAAAAGCUUUCUGAAAGAAGAAAUUCUUUAAGAGAAAUUUGAAAGGAGCAAAACAGAAGAGAAUUGACAGCAGAUACAGAGAACAGCAUGGAAAUUUUACUUCAUUUAUUCAACAAAUUUAUUCAGUAAAAUUUUGUUGAACACCUACGUACUCUUGGCCAGGUAUUGUCCAAGACAACAGAAUACAGAACUGAAUAAAACAGAAUACCCUGUCCAUAUACAACUAUAGCUCAUGAUGUCUUCCAGUUUCAAUGUAUUUAGAGUUGGCAUCUCUUUUGUCGUGGUGUGCAUUUUUUAUAAGUCAGCAGUGGACUCUCUACCAGAACUGAGUCCUCAGAAAUAUUUCAGUACCUUGCAAUCAGGAAAAGCCUCCUUAGCUUAUUUUUGUCAAGCUGAUUCUCCAAGUACCUCUAUAUUUCUUGAAGAACUGAAUAAGGCUGUUAAACCUCUCCAGGACUAUGGAAUUUCAGUUGCAAAGGUUAAUUGUGUCAAAGAAGAAGCAUCAAGAUACUGUGGAAAAGAAAAGGAUUUGAUGAAAGCAUAUUUAUUCAGGGGCAACAUAUUACUCAGAGAAUUCCCUACUGAUACCUUGUUUGAUGUGAAUGCCAUCAUUGCUCAUGUUCUCUUUGCUCUUCUUUUUAAUGAAGUCAAAUAUGUUACCACCCUGGAAGGCCUUCAGAAUAUAGAAAACGCUCUGAAAGGAAAAGCAAACAUUGCAUUUGCGUAUGUCAGAGCCAUUGGAACACCAGGAACCUCAGAGCACAGGGCAGUCAUGGAAUCUGCUUUUGUAUAUGGGACCACAUACCAAUUUGUCUUAACCACAGAAACUGCCCUUCUGGGAAGUAUUGGCACAGAGGAUGUAGAAUAUGCACAUCUCUACUUUUUUCACUGUAAACCAGUCUUGGACUUGACCCAGCAAUGUAGAAGAACACUAAUGGAACAGCCACUGACGACACUGAACAUUUAUCAAUUUAUUAAGUCAAUGGAAGCACCACUGCUGACCGAAGUUGCUGAAGAUCCUCAGCAAGUUUCAACUGUUCAUCUCCAACUCGGAUUGCCACUGGUGUUUAUUGUUAGUCAACAAGCUACAUAUGAAGCUGACAGAAGAACUGCAGAGUGGGUUGCUUGGCGUCUUCUGGGGAAAGCGGGAGUUCUACUCUUGUUAAGGGACUCUUUGGAGGUAGACAUUCCUCAGCAGGCCAACGUGGUCUUCAAAAGAGAAGAGGGAAUGCCAGUGGAAUAUUUGGUGUUACACGAUAUUGAUUUAGUGAUAUCCCAUGUGGAAAAUAACAUGUACACCGAGGAAAUACGAGAAGAUGAAGACGAUGACAUAGAAGGUCCAGAUAUGGACACUUUAGGAAUUGAAGAUGAUGAAGUGGCAGAAACUGUUUACAGAGAUAAGAAGAGACAGUUACCUUUGGAACUCACAGUGGAACUAACAGAAGAGACAUUUAAUGGGACAGUAACGGCUUCUGACAGCAUAGUGCUUUUCUAUGCUGGUUGGCAAGCAGUAUCCAUGGCAUUUCUGCAAUCCUAUAUCGAUUUGGCAAUUAAAUUGAAAGGCACAUCCACUAUGCUGCUGGCUAGAGUAAACUGUGCAGAUUGGUCUGAUGUAUGUACCAAGCAAAAUGUCACUGAAUUUCCAGCUGUAAAGAUGUACAAGGAAGGUGAGAACCCAGUAUCUUAUGCUGGCAUGUUAGGAACAGAAGAUCUCCUAAAAUUUAUCCAGCUCAACAGGAUUUCCUGUCCAGUGAACAUAACGUCUGUCCAAGAAGCAGAAGAAUAUUUACAUGGGGAAUUAUAUAAAGACCUGAUCUCUCAUUCUAGAGUAUCAGUGCUGGGACUAUUUAGUCCAACCAUGACAACAGCAAAAGAAAAUUUCACUGAAGCAGGAAAGUACCUAAAAGGAUAUGUCAUCACUGGAAUUUAUUCUGAAGAAGAUGUUUCAAUAUUGUCAAAUAAAUAUACUGCAACUCUUCCUACCCUGCUGUUAGCCAGACACAAAGAAGACAAAGUAGAGAGCAUUCCAUUAGCUAACACCCAUGCGCAAGACAUAAUUCAAAUAAUAACAAAUUCAUUACUGGAAACAUUUCCAGAAAUCACUGUAGAAAAUCUUCCCACUUAUUUAAGGCUUCAGAAACCAUUGCUUACUUUAUUCAGUGAUGGCAACAUAAACCCUCAGUAUAAAAAAGCAAUAUUGACACUGAUAAAAGAGAAACACUUGGAUUCACUUACCCCCUGCUGGUUAAAUCUAAAGAAUACUCCUGUGGGCAGAAGAAUCUUGCAGGCAUAUUUUGAUGCUCUACCUCCCCUUCCUGUUCUUGUUGUGGUGAAUCUGCAUUCAGGUGGCCAAGUGUUUGCAUUUCCUUCAGACCAGGCUGUAACUGAACAAAACCUUUUAUUGUGGCUUGAGAAAUUAGAAGCAGGACUAGAAAGUCCUAUCACAAUUUUACCUGCUCAGGAAUGGAAACCUCCUCUUCCUGCUUACAAUUUUCUGCGUAUGAUGGAUGCUGCAGCAUUUCAACAUUCCAGUAGGAAAGGCCCUGAGUGUAUGGAAGACACUGGUGUUCAGGAGAAUGAUCAAGAACAGCAUGAAGAUAAACCAGCAAUCAGAAAAGAACCGACUGAAACAUUGAGAAUAAAGCACUGGAAUAGAAGUCUUUCUGUCACAUCCUCCUGUCCAUUUUUGAGACCUUCAGAAGCCUUCUGUCUACCCCCUAAGUGGUUGUAGUUUUCCUACAUGUCCCCCUGAUUCUCAAAAGACUUCCUGGCUAGUGCACAUGUACAUUUUGCGUAAUAUCAUCCCUCAUGAAUCAGAUUCUUUCACCCUCUCUUGCCGCACCUAAACAUCUUGGUCCAUUGCUCCCAGCCCUUGUGAUGAAAUAUUCCAUGAGUUGUUUUUCCAAAAUUCCUGAUUUCAUUAUUCAAGCUUGUGCUUCAUUUAAAAACUAAAUGUGUAUAUUUGGUAACAGUAAGUAAUCAAAUAGGUAUACCUUGAGAGCUGUGCUUAAAUUAAGCUUAAUGGGUAGAAAGCUGCAAGAGAAUGUUACUGCCAUCCUAAUAACAAGGGAAAAAAAUCUUAACUUUUCUUAUACUCAUCAAAGAAGGCAACCAAAGAAACUGAAUUCCAGAGUGACAAGCCUUUUCAAGGAGAGAUGGGAUACAUGAACUGUUUCACCUUUGGCAGUCGGAGAGAGAGCAAACCUUCCUGCCUCCAGGGCCCAGGCAAAGAUCUGCCUCUGGGGGAGGGGCAAAUGUAAAACUCUCUGCCCCUAGGGAGUGGCAGAAAACCUCUUGGGCCCAGGAUCCUGCACCAAUCCCAAGCAAAAUCUGCUAUUACUGGGAGAAAUGCAGGAUCAUCUCUCCUGUUCAACAACUAUGAGAAAUAGCCAUGUUUAGCUGCCAUGGGGGUGGAGGUAGAAAUUCUGAGAAGGCGCCACGCCCCCUACCCUCCCAGGGUUGACUGCACAGGCCAAGAAUGCAACAGAAGAACCAAGAACUACCUCCACCCAUCAGCAGCUUAGUAUCAAAUUACAAGCAACAAAAGCUCACCACUUUGGGAAGCCCAAUAUUGUAGAAUGACACAGGUAUAGCAGGACUUGCUGUAAGCUGAGAGCGGAGCCAGGAAACAAACCCUCUGGCACCCAGAUCCAACUCUAAGUAUGAGGUAAUAGCAGCCAAUCCCUGGAGGAACAUGCAGACUGUGGUGCACCAAAGAUGUGUGGCAUUCAGUCUAAAAUUCUAAGACUAAAAAAAAACCAACAAGUAACAGAAAAUAAUCCAUUGUCAAGAGAUGAAACAGAUGACAGAGCGAAACUCAGAGAUGACCCAGAUAUUUGAACUGUAAGACAGAAACUUUAAAAUAACUAUGAUUAAUCUGUUAAAGGAUUUAGUGGAAAAGGUGGGCAAUAUACAUGAAUAGUUGUGGAAUUUUGGCUGUGAUGGAAAAGUUAGAAAAAAAAAUGCCAUCAGCAAUGAAGAAUGCCUUUGGUGGGCUUAUCAAUAGAAUUGGCACAGCAGAAAGGAAUCUGAACUUGAUAAGUCAAUGGAAAUUAUGCAAAGUGAAAUACAAAGAGAAAACAAUAAUAAAGCAGGACAAUUCAAAAGCUCUGGGAUAAUACCUGUUUAACAUAUAUGGUAUUGGAAUUACAGAAGAGAAAACAGGAUUACUUGAAGAGAUAAUGGCUGAAGAAUUUUAAAAAUUAAUGAAAGACAAUAAAUCACAGAAAUAAGAUGUGCAGAGAAGCCCAAAUAAGAUAAAAAACAAACAAACCCAGUAUAUCAUAGCGAAAUUACUAAAACCAAAGAUAAACAGAAUAUCUUGAAAAUGGCCAGAGCAAAGAAACAUUCCCAUUCAUCUCUCUUGCUUGCUUUCUCACUGUUCUUUUAUAAAACCCUUUAAGAAAUAUAAAAGCCAUUCCUUG